UAAGGAUAAUAAUAAUGUGAUGUAAUUCUACGACUGAAGCUCUAAUUAUCACCGACGACCACUACACGUCUAGUGAUUAUGUUGUGUUAUUACAGACACGCGUAGAUAAAGAUAUAAAGUUUUACAGGAGGAACACUGUAUGAUUUGUCGUGGAGCCGGAUGACUUAUGGCCUGUCGAAUUUAUGGAUAUUUCUAAAUUCAAAUGGAUGAUAAAUUCAAGCGACUUAUACUUCUGCGUUUCUGACGUAAGCCACAGCUGUACAAAUGAAUUUUAACAACUAUAUUAUUAUUUAUUUAUUUUUUCCGAAGAUAAAUAUCAUUUUUGAAAUAAUAUGGAGGAAUUCGAAUCUAUACCUUGCGAUUCGUUGACAGCGAGACACGUGUGAAGCAGGAAGAGAUCGAAGAUUGCCGAAAACUCCUUUGCCGGGUGACUAAUCGCGUAAUAAACGCGUUAAAACUGCGGCAAAUAUUAUGAAUUUUUGGUGAUUUGGCCGAGGAAUAGAAAGUAGGAAUGCAUUUUUGAUCGUUAACGUUAACGGUCGAAAAACGCGCGUCGAUAAUUAUUUUUCCAUUGAUUAUUUUAUCCUUACAUACAAACCAAUGCUGCAGGUAACGAAACCCGAAGCUAGGUGAAAUUGUGGUGCGCGGCUUCUGCUUGAUGCUUGAAUUCUAAAUUAAACAAAAUAAGUGUGAUAUUUCAUGUAGUUGUUGGAAAUAUUUUAAAAUUAGAAUCUAAGUUCAUAUAAGCUGACCUACGAGUUGGUGAAUAUCAAUGUAUAAUACAUUGACCCUUGACCAUGAGUCAGAUUUUAUCUUCAAUUGUCGAGUUAUUUUCAUUGUCGUUUUCCGAGUCACGAGUCAUUAGCAAUUGAAAGGUUUCUUUUCUUUUCUUCGUUUGGCUCAGUUCAUUUUACCGACUUUUCCUUGUAGCUGAUAAUCUCAAUGUUUUUGAAUGCCUGUUAUAAGUAAAAUGGUAAAACCUAAAUAAUCUCAAGGCCUUCGCCCGCCAUACGUACAUGAAGCGUUCACGACCUCCACGCGAUAGAAGAAAACUUCAAAGGGUGAUUCAUUUCGAACUUGUUGUUCGUCUUUGUGGUCAAAGGAUUUUGGAAAGAACAAAAUUUAGGAGUUCGUUCGGAGAAGCGAACUUACUAUUUUCGAUCUGGGCUAUACAAGGAAGAAGUUGAUCAUGAUGGAAUGGAAGAAGCGUCAACAACCAGAGACUUGCACCUGCUAAAAGGCACUAAGUUUGUGAUGUGAUGUGAAAAACUAAUUGAUUUUUGUUCCCUUUUUUGGUUUCUGAAUUAUCAUUCAGACGAGGAAUGAAAACUUUUAUUCGAUCCCACGUCAAGAAUUCCGCAAGCGGCGAGAAUACCCUUGAGCCAAAACGUUGCCGGGGCUCGUCCCAGAAUCCAAAUAUGCUCACUAAAUUGGUUUAACGAUCGAUUUAUUUUCUAUGUAUAGCGAAUUUUAUACUUUAAAUUGCAAUAAAAUUGUAAUAUCUCCAA